UACGUAGGGGGCGAGCGUUGUCCGGAAUCAUUGGGCGUAAAGCGCGUGUAGGCGGUCCGGUAAGUCCGCUGUGAAAGUCGAGGGCUCAACCCUCGAAUGCCGGUGGAUACUGUCGGGCUAGAGUGCGGAAGAGGCGAGUGGAAUUCCUGGUGUAGCGGUGAAAUGCGCAGAUAUCAGGAGGAACACCUAUUGCGAAGGCAGCUCGCUGGGACGUAACUGACGCUGAGACGCGAAAGCGUGGGGAGCAAACAGG
rnacentral:rRNA from 1 species